rnacentral:SRP_RNA from 1 species
GCCAGGUGCAGUGUGUGUGCAAUGGUCCCAGCUACUUGGGAGGCUGAGGUGGGAGGAUCACUUGAGCCCAGGAGCUCUGGGCUAUAGUGUGUUAUGCCGAUCGGGUGUCCACACUAAGUUCGUCAUCAAUAUGGUGACCUCCUGGGAGCGGGGGACCACCAGGUUGCCUAAGGGUGGGUGAACCGGCCCAGGUCAGAAACGGAACAGGUCAAAACUCCCAUGCUGAUCGUAGUGGGAUUGCGCCCGUGAAUAGCCACUGCACUCCAGCCUGGGCAACAUAGCGAGACCCUGUCUCA